UACGGAGGGUGCAAGCGUUAUCCGGAUUCACUGGGUUUAAAGGGUGCGUAGGUGGAUUGGUAAGUCAGUGGUGAAAUCUCCGGGCUUAACUCGGAAACUGCCAUUGAUACUAUCAAUCUUGAAUAUUGUGGAGGUUAGCGGAAUAUGUCAUGUAGCGGUGAAAUGCUUAGAUAUGACAUAGAACACCAAUUGCGAAGGCAGCUGGCUACACAUAUAUUGACACUGAGGCACGAAAGCGUGGGGAGCAAACAGG
rnacentral:rRNA from 1 species